GCCACCGUAGCUCAGUUGGUAGAGCAUUUCAUUCGUAAUGAAGGGGUCGGAGGUUCGAAUCCUCUCGGUGGCU
rnacentral:tRNA from 1 species